rnacentral:rRNA from 1 species
AGAGCGAACGCUGGCGGCAGGCCUAAUACAUGCAAGUCGAACGGACCCUUCGGGGUUAGUGGCGGACGGGUGAGUAACACGUGGGAACGUGCCCUUUGGUUCGGAACAACUCAGGGAAACUUGAGCUAAUACCGAAUGUGCCCUUCGGGGGAAAGAUUUAUCGCCAUUGGAGCGGCCCGCGUCUGAUUAGCUAGUUGGUGAGGUAAAGGCUCACCAAGGCGACGAUCAGUAGCUGGUCUGAGAGGAUGAUCAGCCACACUGGGACUGAGACACGGCCCAGACUCCUACGGGAGGCAGCAGUAGGGAAUCUUGCGCAAUGGGCGAAAGCCUGACGCAGCCAUGCCGCGUGAGUGAUGACGGCCUUAGGGUUGUAAAGCUCUUUCGUCAGGGACGAUAAUGACGGUACCUGAAGAAGAAGCCCCGGCUAACUUCGUGCCAGCAGCCGC